AUGCCCAAGUUCUCUGGAAGCAAUGAUCCCGAAGAAUAUAUCUCAUGGGCCUUGAAGGUGGACAAGAUAUUCUGUCUUCACAACUACGACGAGGAAAAGAAGACCGCCAUGGCCUCCCUCGAGUUCCAAGACUACGUCCUCAUAUGGUGCGAACAAGUGAUCGAGCAACAACAAACAAGAGGCGAGCCACCAAUCACUACUUGGACGGAAAUGAAGGAUGUCAUGAGAGCUUGCUUCGUGCCUACACACUACACCCAUGAUUUUUUCAAGAAGCUGCAACUCCUCAAGCAAGGCACGAAGAUGGUGGAAGAAUACUACCAAGAAAUGGAAGUUGCCAUGAUACGAGCCAAUGUCAAGGAAGAUGACGAGCAAACUAUGGCGCGCUUCUUGAACGGCCUUGAGGGAGUCCUGGAUUAG
rnacentral:rRNA from 1 species